ACAUAUGGACCAGUGGUGUCUGAUUCUUUAUUUAAAUUACAUAUCGGCAACAAGGGUAAAAUGUGGUUACAAAUCCAGUUUCGUAACAUGUCCCGGUAGGCCUAUAUAUGAAAGAGCCAAUCUAUUGGAACUGGAAGGUGUGUAUUGGUGUGAGGAAUGAUUGAGGUAUGAGACUCGUGGGGAGGGGUGAUUACCAGAUCAAUAUUAUUAUCCAGUUUCAUCUAUUCCCUAUGUAUUCAAACUAAUCACCGGUGAAUUUUUAUGGAAAGAUUAUAUGUCAAACUAAUAUUUGAUUCCAAUUUGGAGAGAGGGAGAGAGAGAGAGAAAGAGAGAGAGAGAGAGAGAGAUGGGGUUUAACGUCCACUCGACACUAACAUAUGUUUUAAUUUUAUUUCAGAAAUUCGCUUGCGCGUAGGGGUCUUUAGCAGUGGGAGGUAACCGGAGGACAGGAAGAAAACCCACGACGUUGGACAGGCGAUCCUACUCCUUGUCACGUACAACCGGGGAUUCGAAACCACGCCAGUUGACUCAAUGACAGGUCUUAUUUAUGAUACAGCGCGCACGUGCUAACCAUUCUUGCAUCCACCCCCCCCCCCCAAUUCCAAUUUGGACAUUAUGACCUUUAUGGAAUUAUCAUGAACUGUCUGUAGCCGAUUAAAAGGGCGUAACAGUUGGUAGGAGCUGGUAUAUAAAUGACUUGAAUCAAUGAAAUAUUAAUACACUAACACUUCUCCAUAGCCAAGUUAUCCGUCAUUUUCAGAUUAUCAAGAUGAAAUCUCUGGCUGUUGCUUUAGUGGUAUGUUUAGUGGCAGUACCUUCUUACUGUAAUGAUUCAUUCUGCCGGACAGAACCAUUUUCCGCCAGAUUCGAUAUGAAAACAAUGUCAAUGCAGGAAUACUGCAAAUUAGGUGACAAAGAGAUGGAAAUAAACGGUGAGCCAACAAUAGAUUUAGUAAAUUGUGAAAGAUGCACAUGCGGACCAUCUGAUUUAAAGUGUUGUGGAAUUGGACAUAAUAAACCAAUGAUACAAACACCAGUGGGGUGUUUUAAAAAAAAUCUUGAAAAAUGUUGUUACAAAUUUGUCCAGCGAGCAAACGACGCUCUCGCUUGUGGUGAAAUAAUUUGCCCUGAAGCCUAGAGAACCAAUCAAUUAGUUAUAUAGAACCAGCUAUUAACUAUAAUCAAUCUUUAAAGACAUUAGCUUUGUAUUUCAAUAAAACGUAAACAAAGUUA